rnacentral:rRNA from 1 species
UACGUAGGUGGCAAGCGUUGUCCGGAAUUAUUGGGCGUAAAGCGCGCGCAGGCGGUUUCUUAAGUCUGAUGUGAAAGCCCCCGGCUCAACCGGGGAGGGUCAUUGGAAACUGGGAAACUUGAGUGCAGGAGAGAAGAGCGGAAUUCCACGUGUAGCGGUGAAUGCGUAGAGAUGUGGAGGAACACCAGUGGCGAAGGCGGCUCUUUGGCCUGUAACUGACGCUGAGGCGCGAAAGCGUGGGGAGCAAACAGG